CCUACGGGUGGCAGCAGUGAGGAAUAUUGGUCAAUGGGCGAAAGGCUGAACCAGCCAAGUCGCGUGAAGGAUGAAGGCCCUACGGGUUGUAAACCUCUUUUGUCAGGGAGCAAUGGCGUCCACGUGUGGGCGUGAGGAGAGUACCUGAAGAAAAAGCAUCGGCUAACUCCGUGCCAGCAGCCGCGGUAAUACGGAGGAUGCGAGCGUUAUCCGGAUUUAUUGGGUUUAAAGGGUGCGUAGGCGGAGUGUCAAGUCAGCGGUAAAAUUUCGGGGCUCAACCCCGUCGUGCCGUUGAAACUGACGUCCUUGAGUGGGUGAGAAGUAAGCGGAAUGCGUGGUGUAGCGGUGAAAUGCAUAGAUAUCACGCAGAACGCCGAUUGCGAAGGCAGCAUACCGGCGCCCAACUGACGCUGAGGCACGAAAGUGUGGGUAUCGAACAGGAUUAGAUACCCGGGUAGUC
rnacentral:rRNA from 1 species